rnacentral:rRNA from 1 species
UACGAGGUGCAGCAGGCGCGCAAACUUUACAAUGCGAGCAAUCGUGAUAAGGAAACCCUGAGUGCCUGUCGAUGCAGGCUGUUCAUAUAUCUAAAUCAUAUGUGAAGAAAGGGCAGGGCAAGACCGGUGCCAGCCGCCGCGGUAAUACCGGCUGCUCGAGUGAUGGCCACUAUUACUGGGUUUAAAGCGUCCGUAGCUUGACUGUUAGGUCUCUUGGGAAAUCUUCACGCUCAACGUGAAGGCGUCUAAGAGAUACCGGCAGUCUUGGAACUGGGAGAGGUAAACCGUACUUCGGGGGUAGGAGUGAAAUCUUGUAAUCCUCGAGGGACGACCUAUGGCGAAGGCAGUUUACCAGAACAGCUUCGACAGUGAGGGACGAAAGCUGGGGGAGCAAACGGGAUUAGAUACCCCGGUAGUCCCAGCCGUAAACAAUGUGCGUUAGGUGUGUCGGUAACCACGUGUUACUGAUGCGCCGAAGAGAAAUCGUGAAACGCACCACCUGGGAAGUACGGUCGCAAGGCUGAAACUUAAAGGAAUUGGCGGGGGAGCACCACAACAGGUGGAGCCUGCGGUUUAAUUGGAUUCAACGCCGGACAUCUCACCGGAUAAGACAGCUGAAUGAUUGUCAAUCUGAAGGUUUUACAUGUCUAGCUGAGAGGAGGUGCAUGG